CAAACUGAAGAUGGCGACCGGCGCACGGGUGAGUAACACGUAUCCAACCUACCGAUAACUCCGGAAUAGCCUUUCGAAAGAAAGAUUAAUACCGGAUAGCAUACGAAUAUCGCAUGAUAUUUUUUAUUUAAAGAAUUUCGGUUAUCGAUGGGGAUGCGUUCCAUUAGUUUUGUUGGCGGGGUAACGGCCCACCAAGACUACGAUGGAUAGGGGUUCUGAGAGGAAGGUCCCCCACAUUGGAACUGAGACACGGUCCAAACUCCUACGGGAGGCAGCAUG
rnacentral:rRNA from 1 species